UGGGGGAUAUUGCACAAUGGGGGGAACCCUGAUGCAGCGACGCCGCGUGAGUGAAGAAGUAUUUCGGUAUGUAAAGCUCUAUCAGCAGGGAAGAAAAUGACGGUACCUGACUAAGAAGCCCCGGCUAACUACGUGCC
rnacentral:rRNA from 1 species